rnacentral:lncRNA from 1 species
UCCACAUGUACAUGCUUAAAUUAUAUUUUUCCAUUUCUAGAGUUAUGUACAACAUUCCCAGAAGAUAUGGAGAAAAACAAUAUUGGGCUGAAAUGGAGCUCGAAAACAAGAGUGAAUUUAGAAAGUGGAGACUUUGUUGAAUUUGACUGUAAAAAUGGAUAUGUGAGAGAUCCAACAUCUUCUGAAUUUAGAGUACAGUGUGUGGAGGGGAAAUUGGCAUAUCCUAAGUGUAAGAAAAGAGAGCCAUGUACAACAUCCCCAGAAGAUAUGGAGAAAAACAAUAUUGGGCUGAAAUGGAGCUUGAAAACACAGCUUAAUUUAGAAAGUGGAAACUUUGUUGAAUUUGACUGUAAAAAUGGAUAUGUGAGGGAUCCAACAUCUUCUGCAUUUAGAGUACAGUGUGUGGAGGGAAAAUUGGCAUAUCCUAAAUGUAAGAGAAGAGGUAAGUGAUCUCCAAGUAAGCUACAAUUCUGGUGAAUCAUCUGACUAAAACAUUUGUUAAAAUUUUUACCAAGAUUUUCUCAGGUUUAAAAAAAUGCAAUGGCACCAUUGUGAUGGGUGCCAUAAAAACAUGUGGGAAAUCAUGGUUCCUGACCCAGACAGCUUGCAAUCUAAAUAGAGAAGACAAAUGGUCGGUUAAAGAGAUACACUGGUUACUUUGUUUGUGAGCUCUAUUACUUGAGCUGGGAUAAUCUCCCUCUGACAUCUGGGUCUCUUUCGGUUACCAACAGAGCAGAAAAGUUUUGUAAGUUUCCUGUCUUACCCAAAUUCUCUGGCCGCCCAGUUCCGGGCAGCUGACUUCCAUUGUGGUCUACACUUCUUUGAUUUUCCUCUUAUGCUGAUUUUUUUUUUAGCUCUUUAAUUCCUUGCUGGAGUUCAUAGCUGCUAACACGUUCCAUAUUGGGGAAAACUUUACUGAUGUUGCAUAGUUCCUUUGAAACCUUCUAUCCACAAGAGUCAAUUUAUUGGUCACCUUAUUUAUCUGUGUAACGGGGCAAUA